GGCAUAUCAAAAUUGGAUAGCCAAGCAUGAAUCUGAGAAAAUACUUCCUGGACUGAAGCUGUCUCCUGAACAAUUGUUCUUUGUUGGGUUUGCUCAGCAAUGGUGUAGUUCCUAUAAACCAAAGGGCGUAGAAAUGCGAAAGCAUGAUACACACACCACGCAAAAAUACAGAGUCAUCGGAACUCUCUCAAACUUUGACAAGUUUUCCGAGGCGUUUCAAUGUCCUGUCGACAGCCCCAUGAACCCGACGAAGAAGUGUUCCGUUUGGUGAAGUUAACACAAAUAGGGCCUAUUUUUGUUAAAUUAGAAGUUGUAGCAUAGCUAGGCGCAAUGGAUACGGUACUCCUUUUGACCGCGCCCAUGUAACCAAACAUUAAGUCAUAGUCACAAUUUUAAAACCCCGUAGAUAUCUGCACUUGUAAUAGACAAUUCUUCAUGUUAAGUAGUACGACCACGGUAGGAAUUAACCGAGUAGUAUACUUAUAACCGUAUUGGGUAUCUCGCACGUGGUCGUCYCAGAGAAYAUACUSUACCCKUUCUUUCAAAACGAGAAUAAUUCAAUGUUAAACGCUGUGAAUAGUUGCCUCUGACAUGUUUUUUUUUUGCGGUUUCAUAACUAAAUGUGUCUUGUCAGACUGAUAAAAGUCGUUGCAUCGACCUUUUUCAAAAGGUCUGUUAUAAGAUCGUGAAUAAAUCAUGAAGCCUGACC